rnacentral:rRNA from 1 species
UACGGGGGGGGCAAGCGUUGUUCGGAAUUACUGGGCGUAAAGGGCUCGUAGGUGGCCAACUAAGUCAGACGUGAAAUCCCCAGGCUCAACUUGGGAACUGCGUCUGAUACUGGAUGGCUUGAAUUCGGGAGAGGGAUGCAGAAUUCCAGGUGUAGCGGUGAAAUGCGUAGAUAUCUGGAGGAACACCGGUGGCGAAGGCGGCAUCCUGGACCGAGAUUGACGCUGAGGCGCGAAAGCCAGGGGAGCAAACGGG